GAUGAAGAACGUAGCGAAAUGCGAUAAGUAAUGUGAAUUGCAGAAUUCAGUGAAUCAUCGAAUCUUUGAACGCACAUUGCGCCCCCUGGUAUUCCGGGGGGCAUGCCUGCCCGAGCGUCAUUUCAAACCCUCAAGCCCGGCUUGUGUCGAUGGGUCCCUCGUCCGCCCCCCGCGGUGGAUGGGCCCGAAAGGCAGUGGCGGCGCGGUGCGUCCAGCUGCAGUGCAUGGGAACUCUUCUCGCACUGGCGGCGCGUGUCCACGCUUGCCCCCAAUCGUUUUUCUCUCUCGGUUUGACCUCGGAUCAGGUAGGGAUACCCGCUGAACUUAAGCAUAUCAAUAAGCGGAGGAA
rnacentral:misc_RNA from 1 species